GGGAAAGUGGAGCAGAGACAGCACGCAGCAUGGGGCUCUGGAAACUUUAAGGCCGGGGACAUUCUUUGGAAGGGUUUUGUGUGCGAUGCAAAGCGAUCCGUUUGAAUUAGGCACAAUUAUCUAACUUAUUAACAAAUCCCACAAUGAGGUGAGGAGAAGCGCAUAAUCAAAAGUCUAGUUUAAGCCCCUAAUUCUGAUCUAGAGUCCGCAUGUCUAACUGUCAGGGUCCCCCGGCCGGCCGUAACGAGCCCCGCCCGCGCUAACGAGGCAGCGACUCCCAGGUGCCGCGGAGCCGCGGCCGGCCGAGCACAGCUGCGCCUCGUCGGCGGGCCGGGGCGGGUCCGCCCCAAUUAAGCUCCUCCGGAGGCCGGGGGAAGCCACGAGAGCUACUGGGAUUCAUUGCGUGCGAGAGCCGGAGUGGGUUCUGUUCCUUUGUCCGGUCCUUACGCCGCUGGGGCUGAAAAGCACCGCGAGGGGCUGUCUUUAAAACGAGACCUUGGGUUUCUAUGUCAUGUUCUUUGUUUGUUGUGUUUUGUUUCAGGCUGCAGUGAGAUAUCUCCCGGUGAAGAUCAGCCCGAACCGGUGAGCCGUUCCGGUAGCAACGUUCGAGGCCGUCCGUCCGCAGCAGGAGGCCGUCGGGCUCUCGCCGCGCUCCGUUCGGGGCCGGUGCGGGGCUCCCGCCGAGCAAACCCGGCUUCUCGGAGCCGGCUGAGCCAAGGCUGCAGCAGAACCUCUUGUCAGCCCGAACCGCUGAAAUGGUGGAAGCGGUGAGUGUUUGAGAUUCACUAGGUAAGUUCUCUCUUCUUGGAGCUCGUGUAGGGCUGCCGCUCAGCUGCUUCUGUUUCUUAAGGAUCAGCGCGGUGCUGCUGCUGGGCUCCCACUUAGCCAUUUAAGAAGGGCCGGUGCCCGAGAAGGGAUUUGUGGGUGCUUCAGUCUCUUCCGCUUCCAGCAAUGGGAGUGAGCGGGAUGGGACCAUGCGUUUUUCCCCCUUUCCUUACUUGUAAUUUCAGGAGGGUGAUCUCAUUUCUAUCAUGGAGAUGUGGAGGGACAGCUUGCACGACUGGAAUGCUGUUGUGGGUGGCUGUGUUAUUUAUAGGAGAAAUGGACCGGUGAAAGAACUGGAACAUACUGAACUCUGCCAAGGGAUGAAUGAAGAACUAGAGGAGCUCUGGCGUGUGAGGCUCAAGAGGCAGUAAAUGUGGGUAAUGUCUCGGGGUGUAUUGGUUGCAUACCAGAAUGAGGAAGUUGAGAAGUCCUCCUGCACACAGUUGAAAGUAACCUCACGGCUGUGGGCGAGAGUUCUUGAACCACCCUGUCAGUUGUUAGGAAAGCAAUGCUGCUAGGCAUACCUCGUUCCAGGAGGUUCCUGCAGUGUGUCAAAGAAAGUUUCUGAUGCAGGCAAUGGAGGAGUCAAUGAGGAGAGGGGCACUGCCAGAGCUUGUUCUCUAUAUUGAGUAAUGACCAGCUGGGGAUGUGAAGACAGGGUAUGGCCUUGAGAUAACAUGUGGAAGAUGUGGAGCAAUAUGUAAGAUUGAAACAAUGGACUUUGAGGGAGACAACUUUGUCAUCUUGAAGGACCACCUUGGGUUAGAUCAUCAGAGGUUCCUUAUGCUCAUGCAUGAAUUCCUCUGUGCUCAGGAGGGGUGCAUCCCAAAGAGUAAGAAAUAGAGCAGAAAUGGCAGGAGAUCUGGAUUGGUGAAUGAGGAGCUUGUGGAUAAACUCAAAGGGGAAAAGGAAGGCUAAGGCCCAUGUAGUAUCACCUCUGGGGAGG
ensembl:lncRNA